AUUGAACGCUGGCGGCAGGCCUCACACAUGCCAGUCGGGCGAGCGGCGCACGGGUGAGUAAUGUAUGGGGAUCUGCCUGAUGGAGGGGGAUAACUACUGGAAACGGUAGCUAAUACCGCAUACCAUCAGAUGAACCCAUAUGGGAUUCCCUUGUAGGUAAGGUAACGGCUUACCUAGACGACGAUCCCUAGCUGGUCUGAGAGGAUGAUACCACACAACAGGACGGCGACACGGCCCAGACUCCUAAGGUAGGCAGGUGUGGGGAAUAUGGCACAAUGGGGGCAAGCCGUAUGCAGCCAUGCCGGGUGUAGUAAGAAGGCCUUCUGGUUGUAAAGUAUUUUCAGUCGGUUGGCGUUACCGACAGAAGAAGCACCGGCUUACUCCGUGCCAGCAGCCGCGGUAAUUC
rnacentral:rRNA from 1 species